AUGUACUCUGUUUCUAUGUGUGUCUGUGAAGCAGGUCAGAGCAAUCUCUUCUGUUUUUGGGAAAACUGUAUGUCAGCAUUUAGACAUUUAGAUACCUUCAUGUUCUUGACAGGGGGAGAGGCAAUUCUGAUAAGGUUUAAAGCUGUGGAAGCAAAGACAAAGGAAUAUGAAUUUGGGAAACAAUUUUCAGAGAAAGAAGGUGACAGAAUUCUUCAUCAGAAGUCCUUAUUGAGAAAAUGCAGUGAAUCCUCAAUAAAGUCACCACAAUGGGAACAAAGACCCUUGCAGAAGCUGCUGCAGUGUGGCCACCACAGCUCACUUACUGUCCUCUCCCACAUGGGAUAGGAAAUCUGCUCAGUGGUUCUCAGCAACUAAUCUUCUCUCUUUUUGAGAAGUCUUUUAAAUCUGAUUAAUGAUUUUAAUGGCUGCUUUUUAAAGUCGACUUGGUUAAUACAUAGAACUGGUCCUGAAAACCAGGAUGAAAAGAAUCUGAUUUAUAUUUAUUGAUCACUUUCAGAAGAAAGUCUUUCUGUUCUUCUAAAACCAAGCAGGGACACAGAUUGAGGGAGAAGAUGAAUUUAAUGCCGGGAACUCUUUGAGAUAAGGUAGUCAUAUACACAACCAUUUGUAGGCUUAAGCCCUGUUGUAGCACCAGUUAUAAAUACUUAUCUGAGUGGUCUCAGUGAAUGCAGUGUGAUUUCUAAUGUGUUUGUAUAUUGGUUCCUGAGUGUAAAAGUGGGACUUGGUCCUGAAAAUGAUUGUGCAUUGUACAGCUUGAUUCUGUAUGAUGCAAAUGCCUUUGUUGUCAUGAAGAAACUAUCAGUAAAUGAGUUUCCAAAGCUUUGUCAAAUUAAUGCCCAAGUUGCCAGAACAAAAAACCAUUAUAGGAAAAAUAAGAUCAAAUGAUACAAACUGAAAAUUGUGAGAUUACUUAGUAGUAGUUUCUAAUAUUUUUUGAUUUCAGUAAAUGUAAUCAACUCUUUAAACUAGACUAACAAAGAUGGUUUCUUUAUCAAUAUAGGCUUUUCUUUCCUUUGGAUAGUGUUAUUCACACCAAGGAAAAGCAAAUGUCUCUUGGAUAUCUGUGUUCUUACUAACAUAUGGUUAAUAACUCCUGGUGAAAAAUCGUCUCCAGUGGUGCUACAGAAAUGACAGAAGAUCAUCAUAAUCUGCCAAAUCAGCAUACCUUUUUUUUUUAAUCAAACCCUAAAGACGAUGAAGUUUAGUGGUCACUUGAUGAGUAUGGUACUUCCUCCUCUAUUUAAUUUCUUUGGCAGCAUUGCAAAAGUGUUUAUAAGCAGUUUCUCAUUCCUCUUGAGUGUCAGUGGAGAUGCACAUGAUACUAAUAUUAUCACUUUCAAUAGAGGUAUCUUUUAGUCAUCCCACAGUCUCUAGUUGGUCAGUAGCCUACUGCCUCUGCCACUGGUAUCCUCACUCAAAUGAAUGAGAGAUAAGAUGAAAGCAAGUGACUUUGGUUUCUGUUAUUUAGGUGCUUUCUUUCUAGUAAAAUUAAACCACAGAAGUCAGCUUCCUGACCAAAAAAAAAAAAAAAAACACAAUAAAGGAAAGAAAAGAAAAAUAUAGGACUCCGUU
ensembl:lncRNA